GGCGCGGACGCUUGUGCCGGAAGUAAACUUGUUAAUGGUUCUUUGCCUUUUGGGGAGGGGAGAUAGCCCCGAGAAGGCUUCGGAGACCCUUGAGUCGGCCGGCGAGCAGGGUUUCGUACUUGAGCGCCUCCACAAAUAAACGCUCCUUCGCUCUUCCGUCGCGUGCGUUUCCCUGGGAUAAUAAGUGGGAAAGUAGUGGCUUUUAUUUUUUUGAGACAGGGCUCACCGCCGUCGCCCAGGCUGGAUGGAGUGCAAUGGCGCGAUCACGGCUCACUGCAGCCUCGACUUCACAGGCGCAGAGAUGGGUUUCACCAUGUUUCCCAGCCUUGUGUCAAACUCCUGACCUCAAGUGAUCCGCCGUCUUGGGUCUUCGAAAGUGCUGGGACUGCAGGAAUGAGCCACCGCAUCUGGCCCGGAAAGUGUUUUGGAGGGUAGAAAACUGCAAAUUAUAGGACUGCCUUCAAGGAUCCCGAAGGACCCACAGAUUUGCCGCAUCGGGCUCCUAUGCGCGCCGCUAAUUUCAUGUGUUGAGAUGCACUGCCCAGUGCGUUGUUUUUACUGGAGGAGCUUGUGUGCGGAGCUCCUUGCUAGUGUCAUGUGUAUGUGUUGGGAUGGGAGAGAAGUGCAGGAGAACUAUGAGAUAAUGCCCCCUGAUCCUCAGGGUCUUAGGAGGUAUGGUCGGAGAGGCUAAGCUAAAGCAUGAAAGCCAUGUGUAGGCCCUUCUGUGUAGUGCAGAAAAGGGAGAGGUAUGUGGUUUGAAAGAGUAGGGAUGACAUGGAGGGUGCGACUCCUGGUUGGAUCUAUGAACUAGUGUCCUUGGGACGAAAGUACAUGCAACCUUUUGAAAAUGGAUGGGUGAUAAUGAAAGACCAUUCCAGAGAAGAAACACCAUGGUGCAAAGGCUCAAGAGGCAUACUGGAAGUACAAUGAAGAGAGCAAUCUAACUGAAAUGGGAAAAAAAGAAAUAGUGUAAAAAGAUUUGAUGAGAAAGAUGGAAUCGAUUUUUAAAUUUUUUUAUCUACACAACAAAAUUUAUCAUCUUAACCAUUUUUUAGUGAAUAAUUCGUUAGUAUUAAGUAUAUUUACCUUGUGCAACCAGUCUCCAGAAUUCUUUUCAUCUUGCAAAACAAACCCCUCACCCAUUAAACAAUUUCUCAUUCGCCGUUUUCCAGCUAGCCUUGGUAACCUCCAUUCUAGUUCUGUCUCUAUGAAUUUGACUACUUUAGGUACCUCGUGUAAGUGGUAUCAUACAGUAUUUGUCUUUUUGUGACUGGCAUAUUUUACAUAGCAUAAUCUCCUUGUGGUUUAUCCAUGUUGUAGCAUGUGUCAGAAUUUCCUUCCCUUUUAAGACUAAAUAAUAUUCCAUUGUAUGU
rnacentral:antisense_RNA from 1 species